rnacentral:lncRNA from 1 species
CAAGUUCACAUAUGCACCCUUCAACUGCAUGCCAUUUACAAACUAAACAGACAUUACUUCAAUUCUGGAUAAUGUUGAAAUCCAAAUAAACCUUCCCUUUUAAUCCCCUACAUAUGCUUAAUUAUUCACUAACAAUGCUUACAUGUCCAGCUUCUGAACUUAAUAAUCAAUAUCAAACCAACAGUACCAAAGCACAAUCAAACAUAUCCAAAAAAACUCUCAUCAAUUCACAGCUUAAAACAUGCUGGGCUCAAUUACUUAAUCACCUUACAAGUGCUUCAAUAAUAACAACAUAACGAACACUUAAACACAUAGUAAGACCAAAUAAUCACAAAAUCAAAUAAUACAAAAUAGAUUGCAAUAAAAUAUUGUAUCAUCAAAAGUCCUCAUAUUCAAUUUCAACAUGUCAUUUGAGGUCCAAAGCGUACCUAAACACAACAAAAUAACAAGGAAAAUAAGCUUGGAGCUUAAGAAGAAGCAACAAGAGCAAUGUAAUAGUUCCAAAAGAACAAAUUAAAACAAACUUCCAAACCAACUCAAACUAAUUUAACCCAGGUGCACGAUUUUGAACUUUUAGAAACUCUAAUUAACCAAAGGAAAUCAAAGAACCAGAAGCCAAGCAAAUUUUCAGCAAUUUUCAAUAUUUUGUAGUUUGAAAGAGACUUACGCCGUUUUCCAAGUUUUUCAUUGUUUUUUAAUUCUCUAAAAUCUGACUUGAGAAUGAAGUAACAAACCUUUUAUAGAGGCUUCUUAGGGCAGCAGAAAUGAACUUCAAAUUUUGCCUAUUACUGCUUCUUA